rnacentral:rRNA from 1 species
GACGAACGCUGGCGGCGUGCCUAAUACAUGCAAGUCGAACGCAUUUUCUUUCACCGUAGCUUGCUACACCGAAAGAAAAUGAGUGGCGAACGGGUGAGUAACACGUGGGUAACCUGCCCAUCAGCGGGGGAUAACACUUGGAAACAGGUGCUAAUACCGCAUAAUUCCAUUUACCGCAUGGUAGAUGGGUGAAAGGCGCUUUUGCGUCACUGAUGGAUGGACCCGCGGUGCAUUAGCUAGUUGGUGGGGUAACGGCCUACCAAGGCUGCGAUGCAUAGCCGACCUGAGGGGGUGAUCGGCCACACUGGGACUGAGACACGGCCCGGACUCCUACGGGAGGCAGCAGUAGGGAAUCUUCGGCAAUGGACGCAAGUCUGACCGAGCAACGCCGCGUGAGUGAAGAAGGUUUUCGGAUCGUAAAACUCUGUUGUUAGAGAAGAACAAGGAUGAGAGUGGAAAGUUCAUCCCUUGACGGUAUCUAACCAGAAAGCCACGGCUAACUACGUG